rnacentral:rRNA from 1 species
GUGGGGAAUAUUGGACAAUGGGGGGAACCCUGAUCCAGCCAUGCCGCGUGUGUGAAGAAGGCCUUUUGGUUGUAAAGCACUUUAAGCGAGGAGGAGGCUACCGAGAUUAAUACUCUUGGAUAGUGGACGUUACUCGCAGAAUAAGCACCGGCUAACUCUGUGCCAGCAGCCGCGGUAAUACAGAGGGUGCAAGCGUUAAUCGGAUUUACUGGGCGUAAAGCGCGCGUAGGUGGCCAAUUAAGUCAAAUGUGACAUCCCCGAGCUUAACUUGGGAAUUGCAUUCGAUACUGGUUGGCUAGAGUAUGGGAGAGGAUGGUAGAAUUCCAGGUGUAGCGGUGAAAUGCGUAGAGAUCUGGAGGAAUACCGAUGGCGAAGGCAGCCAUCUGGCCUAAUACUGACACUGAGGUGCGAAAGCAUGGGGAGCAAACAGGAUUAGAAACCCCAGUAGUCC